GUAAAUCACCUCAACACUGUUAUCACCAAGUUACGUGCAGAUAGCAUGUAAACAAAAACAUGCGUCUCCCAAACAACGGUUCUUAGCCCACUACACGUUUGGUAACAGUGCAAUGCUAAACAGUUAUGUCAAGUGUUGUUUCUGAUGACUAAUGUAAACAAUGACAAACCCAGUCAGGGUCGGAAACGUAAAAUUCGUAGAUCGGCUUCCCAACAGAUAGCAAAGACACGCUUAGACAUAUGAAGCUUAGCAGCUUAUGUACUGCUUUUUAGCCAAGAGAAAAAGAUUUAAAUAUUAUUACAUGAAAAUUACUUGAGUGGAAAUGCAGAGAACACACCAAGAUGUGUCGUGUAAUGUUAGUGAAGGUGAUGUUAGGUCGCCUAACAACGGCCACCCAGCUCUGACAGCUGAGCUACAUAGUUUUUCUUCCACGUUGAAAAAACCGUAAUCUAUUUGGGAUCCUCUAUCCUUUACGGCCACGAGAAUGACUGUGGCAGUUAAAGACGCUACAAAACAUUACCAUUUUAUCGUUUCUUUUUAUUGUUUAAUCCAAACAAAACCGCGCCGAUCCAACUAAGUACCCGCGACUACUUGCGUCUUCUACCGCUUGAUCCUAAAUGCUUCAAGGAGGGGUUGUGAACACUUCCGACAUUAAUUAUAACCACAACCCCAUUCUGUUCAACUACUGUAUUAUUCAUGUGGCUUCAUUUAUGAAUGAAUUAAUACAUUUAUUGUUGUUACAUCAUCCAAAAUACUACUUCUCUUAUCUGACAAGUGUUGAUGUACAGUAUUAAUUUACAUUGUUUUUACUUUGCGGUACAAAACGUCGUUCUGUUACCUAGUAACACUAUAAACAACCCCCUUUGCUUUUUCAGUUGAUUUUUAACUCAUUUUGAAGAAAAUAUAUGCUUGAACUUUUGCUGGAUGUAAUGAAGAGGUCUUCAUUAUGUGGACUAUCCCUAUUUAAGCUCUGCACAUCUGCUCCUCAUUAAGAAGUGGCGUGGGUGUCUGUGAAAGGAGAAUUGUUAGUCAGAACAAAUAAGGUCUACUGUUGUGAAACUUGAGCAAGUGUUUAUGCUUGAUGGUGUGUGCCUGAAUAAAUCCACUGCUACUUCCACCUUCCUCUGCCGUCACUCUUAUUUCUCACUGGUAAUCCAGCCGCAAAGGCCUCUGGUUGACAAGUGGUGUCAGGAGAGGGAUGCUCAAGCUACAGUGACAAGAUGAUGAACUAGAGGUGGGAAAAAGCCAGGGCAAGAGGACGAGCCUGAAGGAGUUGGAGCUUCAUCUGGUCUAGAGGCCCUGGCAAUAGCCAAUCCUGAGGACAGGUUGGAGGAACUGGCAGAGUUGGUGAAAUCUCUUUUGCAGUCUCAGGCAGCCAGAGACCAGAAGAUGGAGAAAGAUUUCUCUCAGGAAAAAAGGUGGAAAAGCAUGCAGCAUCAAUUUCAACAAAUUCAGCUUCAAAUAAAUGCUGUAAUUGAUAAACCGGAUUAUUCUGAAGCACAACCUCUCCCCACAACAUCUGAAGUACAUGGCAAUGAAUCAGAUGGUGGUGACAUCCAGGUGGCCCAUGGUACCAGGUCUAUAAUUGAACCAAAAUCUCUCCACUUAUCUGUGGAUGAUGACAUUGAACAUUUCUUGACCACAUUUGAGAGGAUGGCCCAGGUGUGUCGCUUGUCCAGAGAAGAGUGGGCUGUUCGUCUCAUCCCCCUGUUAACAGGGAAAGCUCGCACAGCUUUUGUUCUUAUGGAUAUAGCAGACUCUGAGAACUAUGACAAAGUGAAAGAAGCAAUUCUGGCAAAGUAUGAGAUCACGGCUGACACUUAUCGACGCCGCUUCAGAUCCCUGAGGGUUGAACCAGGUGAAACGCCACAUGAACUUUAUGUAAGAUUGAAAGACUUGUUUUCAAGAUGGGUUAAACCUGAAAGAUCUACUGGACAAGAAAUUUCUGAGCAGAUAAUUCUGGAGCAGUUUCUGAGAAUGGUUAAUCCAGAGUUGGAGAUCUGGAUACGUGAGCGUGACCCAAAAACGGCCAAAGAAGCAGCUGGCCUGGCAGAGGUUUUCACAUCAGCCAGGAAGGGGAGCAAGAGCACCUAUUUUGGCCGGGAGACCCACUAUGCCCAACCAAGGUGUUUGGACAAAUACUUCACCAGGGGUCCAGACACCAUUUAUAGGUUCCGGCAGAGACCAUGGAAAAUGUGGGGGAUUUGUGCACUUAGUAUUUGUGAGGUUUUAUUGUGUUUGGGUGUAUAGGUUUAAAAUAUAUAUAUAUAAUAUUUAUAAAAAGUAAGGGGGAACAUGUAUAUAUUUGAUAAAAUGUAUGUUUGUGUUGGAAGUUGUGAGAUGUUAAAUUCCAUGAAGAGAAUGGUUUAGUCCUUUUAUCAGCUGUGCCUAUUUAAGGCUGCAAUUGUGUCUUGUUAAGGUUUUUUUUUGAUGCUGUUAAGCUUGAUGGUGUGUGCCUGAAUAAAUCCACUGCUACUUCCACCUUC